CGGGUGAGUAAUGCGUGACCAACCUGCCCCAUGCUCCAGAAUAGCUCUUGGAAACGGGUGGUAAUGCUGGAUGCUCCAACUUGACGCAUGUCUUGUUGGGAAAGUGUUUAGUGGCAUGGGAUGGGGUCGCGUCCUAUCAGCUUGUAGGCGGGGUAAUGGCCCACCUAGGCUUCGACGGGUAGCCGGCCUGAGAGGGCGGACGGCCACAUUGGGACUGAGAUACGGCCAGACUCCUACGGGAGGCAGCAGCG
rnacentral:rRNA from 1 species